rnacentral:pre_miRNA from 1 species
UAUUUCAAAUGGUAAUAUGGUCAACAACAAAGUUGAUCCUCUCAUCAAGAUCUACAACUUUUCUUUUGGUCACUUCUUCAUCCGACAAAGUGAUAGUUAUAUUAUUCACAAAAAUCACAUUUCUCUCAUCUGGUUUAUAAACAUCAACACAUAUAUGUCAAUUUUGUAAACAUUGGUACUGAAACAAAGUUAUAUAGACAAAUGACCAAAAUAAAAGUUGUAGAUCUUGAUGAGAGGAUCAACUUUGUUGUUGACCAUAUUACCAUUUGAAAUC